CGGCAACAGCUCAAAUUUGAAAUCUGGCCUCGGCCCGAGUUGUAAUUUGCAGAGGAUGUUUCUGGCGCGGUGCCUUCUGAGUUCCCUGGAACGGGACGCCAUAGAGGGUGAGAGCCCCGUACGGUUGGACGCCUAGCCUGUGUGAAACUCCUUCGACGAGUCGAGUAGUUUGGGAAUGCUGCUCAAAAUGGGAGGUAUAUCUCUUCUAAAGCUAAAUACCGGCCAGAGACCGAUAGCGCACAAGUAGAGUGAUCGAAAGAUGAAAAGCACCUUGAAAAGGGGGUUAAACAGCACGUGAAAUUGUUGAAAGGGAAGCGCCCAUGACCAGACUUGUGCCCGGCGGAUCACCCAGCGUUCUCGCUGGGGCACUCCGCCGGGUCCAGGCCAGCAUCGGUUUUCGCCGGGGGAUAAAGGCUCUGGGAACGUAGCUCCUCCGGGAGUGUUAUAGCCCUCUGCGUAAUACCCUGGCGGGGACCGAGGUACGCGCUCCGCAAGGAUGCUGGCGUAAUGGUCAUCAGCGACCCGUCUUGAAACACGGAUCAAGGAGUCGUCCAUUAGAGCGAGCGUUUGGGUGUCAAACCCGCACGCGUAAUGAAAGUGAACGUAGGUGAGAGCUUCGGCGCAUCAUCGACCGAUCCUGAUGUCCUCGGAUGGAUUUGAGUAUGAGUUUUACUGGACGGACCCGAAAGAUGGUGAACUA
rnacentral:ncRNA from 1 species